rnacentral:rRNA from 1 species
GCUCGAGUGGCGAACUGGUGAGUAACACGUGAGUAACCUGCCCUUGACUUUGGGAUAACUUCAGGAAACUGGGGCUAAUACCGGAUAGGAGCUCCUGCUGCAUGGUGGGGGUUGGAAAGUUUCGGCGGUUGGGGAUGGACUCGCGGCUUAUCAGCUUGUUGGUGGGGUAGUGGCUUACCAAGGCUUUGACGGGUAGCCGGCCUGAGAGGGUGACCGGCCACAUUGGGACUGAGAUACGGCCCAG